GAUGAACGCUGGCGGCGUGCUUAACACAUGCAAGUCGAACGGAAAGGCCCAAGCUUGCUUGUGUACUCGAGUGGCGAACGGGUGAGUAACACGUGGGUUAUCUGCCCUGCACUUCGGGAUAAGCCUGGGAAACUGGGUCUAAUACCGGAUAGGACCACUUCUGUGAUGUUGUUGUGGAAAGUUUUUUCGGUGGGGGAUGAGCUCGCGGCCUAUCAGCUUGUUGGUGGGGUAAUGGCCUACCAAGGCGUCGACGGGUAGCCGGCCUGAGAGGGUGUACGGCCACAUUGGGACUGAGAUACGGCCCAGACUCCUACGGGAGGCAGCAGUGGGGAAUAUUGCACAAUGGGCGCAAGCCUGAUGCAGCGACGCCGCGUGGGGGAUGACGGCCUUCGGGUUGUAAACUCCUUUCGCUAGGGACGAAGCGUUUUGUGACGGUACCUGGAGAAGAAGCACCGGCUAACUACGUG
rnacentral:rRNA from 1 species